UACGUAGGGUGCGAGCGUUAAUCGGAUUUACUGGGCGUAAAGCGUGCGCAGGCGGCCCGUUAAGACAGGUGUGAAAUCCCUGGGCUCAACCUAGGAAUUGCGCUUGUGACUGGCGGGCUCGAGUACGGUAGAGGGGGGUGGAAUUCCUGGUGUAGCAGUGAAAUGCGUAGAGAUCAGGAGGAACACCGAUGGCGAAGGCAGCCCCCUGGGCCUGUACUGACACUGAGGCUCGAAAGCGUGGGUAGCAAACAGG
rnacentral:rRNA from 1 species